AACUUUAUAAAAAAACAAUUCUGAUACAUACAUAGAUUAAAAGAAGAGACAAAUCAGAGCAAAUUUAAACAUACAUAGAUAAGAUGAAGGGCUGAUCGUUUGAUCGACCGAAUCGGAUCAAGAGUACUUGUGCCAACAAAGUAGCAUAGUAACACAAGUUCUCAUGAUAUAAAGCUUCCCUCUUUGUUGCCUCACAACCCUCUUCCACUUCCCGACUCUUCGCCUCCACUCCAUUCCAAGCAAGUUAAGUUCAAGUAGCUAGGUUAACCUGAUCGAUGAUCGGGGCGGCUUAUAUUAUCAAUCUAUGUAUGGAUGUAUCGUCAAUCUAUGUGAAUUGUUGGGGACCAUUGAACUAACCUAUUUCAAGCUUGUGAGUACUACGGCCAUGUCUUUACUUCACAUGUAGAGUAAUUGUCUCUUCGAUUGAUUGAUAGAUAAAUCUAUGUAUGUUACAACUACUUUACCUCAACCAACUAAUGAACUUCAUUAGAAGUUGUCGGAGGGUUUGUCCCCACAUCGGACCCCCACCGCCGGUCAACUUCAUAUAUACAUGUACUACUCGCUUG
rnacentral:lncRNA from 1 species